GUCUUCGGGAGUAUGCGGCUUACAAAUUUUACCUCACGACUACCAUCCACGUGGUCAUGUGUACCAAUUUGUUGUUUAUCACGAAUAUCUCAAAAUUUUUAAACAAUUUAAAGAAAACAUUGUAGAACAAUCUUUAAAAUCAGUUUAUCUAUUGAAGCAACACUUAGAAGUGAUAUUGUUUAUUCAUUUAUUUAAAUUUGUGUUAUUUUUUUGCUUAGUGUUGACUCAAACAUCUCGAAAAUUUAACGAGAAUAUAUUCUGAAUGAAAAGUUUGUUUUUCUGUCAAAGUUUCCUCCCCCCGGAGGCAUUUCGUGAAUUUUCGUGGUUGAGAGAAGUCUGUUGAAUUAUUUAUAAGUCACCUCAGUGAUUGCGGUUGCUUUUUGAGAAAAACCUAUGAAAAAUGUCGUGGGAUUGUAAAUUAAAUAACCAACCGUCAAUGAAUCUUGAACAGUCAGAGGAAACGGUUGCUUCCUCGUGCUUUUAAAAGCACCAACGAGAAUGAUAAAUCUCACCGUAACCAAUAAAAAAGUAAAUAAAAUUCUGGGUCACAUUGACCCCAGUACAAAAAAAGGAACAAAUUAGUGCGAGAAAGAAUGUCCUGCGAAAAGGCAUCAAGACGCCUGAGAUACAUUAUCGCCAAGGCAAAACGAUUCGGGCUAACAGAGUGUGAGUUGGCAGAUUUACCUGGAGCAAAAAAAUUUACAACUUCCAAGUCAGGACUAAGCACUUGGUCCCUUAUCGCCGUGGUAAUUGCUCUUAUCAUUGGUGGAACCCUUUUGCUGGCGCUGAUUUGCAACCCAUGUACAAGAAGAAGUCAAAUUCACGUCCACAGGAAUUAAGUAUUAAUGAAUGGCAGGAAUGAAUGCUUGGGGUCAUGGCAAAGAAGAGUGAAGAUAAGACCGUUGUUUUUCAAGGAUUGUGAAAAAUUUUUUUUUUAACAUAUUGCCUAAAGUAUAUGAAUUAUAAUGUAAGCAAUUUUUGGAUAAUUAAUGGAAGUUCAUUAAAGCAUUUAUGAGAAAUUA